rnacentral:misc_RNA from 1 species
UUUCAUUUUUCAUUGAAAAUUCAGACAUAAAACGUGUUGUAUAUGUGUGUUUGGUUAACUACUUGCGAGCUUGCGCCCCAAGUUUGUUCGAGUACCAGAAAUGAUCCUUCCGCAGGUUCACCUACGGAAA